CAAUACUUUGUUAACCUAACUGAGUUAUAGCACUUAUCAUUGCUCUUUUGUUGUUUUUGAUUGCUUCCACUGUCCUGGUUUGUAAGUCGCUUUGGAUAAAAGCGUCUGCUAAAUGAAUAAUGUAAAUGUAAAUAUAAUCAUAUUUCGCUUGAAUCAAGUUAAAGGUGUAAUCUGCUGAUUGUCCUGCAGGUAACCGCAUAAAUCUGUUUUCUUAAAUACACUUAGGGCUUAACCAUUACUCCAGAGCACCCGUAGAUCGAUGAUUUUCAAGGGCUACUUAAGUUAUGAUGCUUUUGGGAAACAGACCGUGAUAUUAAGAUCAGUAGUAUGAUCGUUUUUAUGAACUUCUUAGGCUUACGAUGCUUUUGGGAAACAGAACGUGAUAUUAAGAUCAGUAGUAUGAUCGUUUUUAUGAACUUCUUAGGCUUACGAAGCUUUUGGGAAACUCAGCCCAGUUUUUUUUCAACAUUCAUUCAAAUAGUAAUGUUUAUUUCGUGCUGCAAAUAUUGAAGAGGAAAAUAUAAUUGAUUCAUAUGCAGUUACCAAAUUAUCUCACUAAAUUAAGCAUAAAAAGCGUAAAAAAAGACGUUUAUUGUUGGUACGUAGUUUUUUGCAUAUAUGUCCGGAACUGACUCGCUAUGACAGACUCCCUGUGAUCAUAAGGCUUCAGUAGACAUCAACACAAAAGUAGGCUACUAUAUAGUACCGACUUAUUUUAAUAGACAUAAUACUUGAAAAUGAAAAUGUGUCAAAACAGUUUAAAAAAAUUUCAAAUAGGCAUAUAUAAACGUAUUAAUUAAUUAUCAAUAUAUAGGCUAUUAAUUUGAACAUGUAGAGUAGCCUACAAGAAACUGCUCUUGUAAUAAGGAACUGGUGCUCUGCAUUUAACCCAUCCAAGUGCACACACACAGCAGUGAGAAGUGAACACACACCCGGAGCAGUGGGCAGCUACAGAUCCAGCGCUGGGGAGCAACUGGGGUUUCAGUGCCAGGGUACUGAGUUCAGUCAUGGGUACUGAGGGUGGAAGAGAGUGCUGUUCAUUCACUCACUCCCACCUACAACUCCUGCCAGCACCAAGACUUGAACCGGAUACCUUCUUGUAAGUAGUCCAAGUCUCUAACCAUUAGGCCACAAACUUGUGCAAACUUCUGUCAAAAUCAAAUUCUCCAGUCAAAAACCCUUACAUGAUCUAUCAAUAUCAAACUUUGGCCUCAGAUGACAAAACCUACAGUACAAAUACACACACUACAAUUGUUUAGCUUCCUUAAAUAUAAUAAGUUAUCUUUACUUAGUUGUUAUACUUACUAGGUUUUAUUAAGUUACACAAUUUGCUAAUUUUAAGGCGAAUAGAACAACAUGCUGCAAUGAGUAAUUCUUUCUUAAAAUAUUCAAGUAGCUACAACAAAACCGAUGACAUUAAUUCACCAGUGAGAGGCAGCAGUGCGCUAAUGUGCAACAGGAACAAAACAACAGAAGAAGAAAUAAGGACGGUGAGCAUGCGCAGCAAGCAAAGUUUUGAAGCUGCGUCGAAUUUGCUUAAACUAAAAAGUAGAAAGACUGUUUACAUUUCACCUCUGGACAAAGAAUGAUUGAUUACUUCUACACAAUAAUAAUAAGGAAAAAAGCUUGUGUCAUCUGUCUUCUCUGAGCAGCGGUCUCGUGAUCACCGGUCUCAGUAUAAUAAAGAGGACACUUCACAUCCUAGAACCCAUAAAAUAAAAGAUUUGACAGAACUACACACCCAUCUGAGGCCUACCUGUUUUAAUUCAUGAUCACCCCGGAUACUUCUACAACUAACCUGCUUGGUGUCUGAUGCUGAUGCAGUCUGGGCACUAGUAUCUGUUGGCUUGCUGACUAUCACUGACGAUGAAGUACUUCUCCAAAUCUUGACCCAGUGUCUUCUGCCAUCAUUGUUCAGGGUAGUACUGCAAAGAAUAGUCUCCAGGGUCUGCCUCCAACAUUUGCUUCCCGAACACCAUGUGCUACGCUUGCAUCACUACAUGUGGGUUACUCUGAUACUGUGAAGAAAACCUACAAUAUGAUGCUUGACUUGGGACAGAAAAAAAAAACAUUGGCAACUUGUGUGGCCAACUCAUUGCCGUAUUUAAAAUCAUUGUACUGCUACCUCCAUUGUUUAACAUAACUAAAAGCAGAUUGUUUUUGCUUUGUUUCAAAAUUUUUGUAAUACGAGUUAAAACUACAUUGAAAAAAAUAUAUCAUCUUUAACUUUGAACUGUCACUACAUUUGAUUUAGGGUAAUUAUGUGUGUGAAGAAUAGAACAUUGUUGUCAUGAAUUUGUAAUAGAUUUUUGAAGUAUUUAAGUUACUAGAGUAAUGGUAACUUUUUUUUUUUUAAAGGCAAUUGGUCAAAACUAGAUUUCUGUUCAAGUAAAUACAACUUAGAAAUUCCAAGUUGCAGGAAAUGUUACUUGAUUUAGCUAAAUUUAAAUGACUUGUUUGAAAUACGUACAUAGUAUAAUGUACUUGAUUUAGUUGUUGAAAAUAGUAAUUCUGAGUUACACGUUUACAACACUUAUAAAUAAACCUUUGUUAGUACAAAUUACUAUUCUUAUUUCACUUUACUUGUUUUUUUUCAAGGCAAUCGGUUUGCAUACUUUUUUUAAAUAAAGUUUACUCAUUUUAAUUUACAGUGCAGACAAGCUCCCUGCCCAGUGCACACUAGUGAGAUAAAUUCAAAACACUGUAAUUGUAAUAAAGUACUGUAACUAUACUGUA